GAUGAACGCUGACAGAAUGCUUAACACAUGCAAGUCGAGCGAGCGGCGGACGGGUGAGUAAUGUCUGGGAAACUGCCUGAUGGAGGGGGAUAACUACUGGAAACGGAAGCUAAUACCGCAUACCAUCAGAUGUGCCCAGAUGGGAUUAGCUAGUAGGUGGGGGAACGGCUCACCUAGGCGACGCUCCCUAGCUGGUCUGAGAGGAUGACCAGCCACACUGGAACUGAGACACGGUCCAGACUCCGACGGGAGGCAGCAGUGGGGAAUAUUGCACAAUGGGCGCAAGCCUGAUGCAGCCAUGCCGCGUGUGUGAAGAAGGCCUUCGGGUUGGAAAGCACUUUCAGCGGGGAGGCGGUACCUGCAGAAGAAGCACCGGCUAACUCCGUGCCAGCAGCCGCGGUAAUAC
rnacentral:rRNA from 1 species